AUUGCACGCUGGCGGCAGGCCUAACACAUGCAAGUCGCGCGAGCGGCGGACGGGUGAGUAAUGUCUGGGGACUGCCCGAUAGAGGGGGAUAACUACUGGAAACGGUAGCUAAUACCGCAUACUAUCGGAUAACCCAUAUGGGAUUAGCUAGUAGGUGAGGUAAUGGCUCACCUAGGGGACGAUCCCUAGCUGGUCUGAGAGGAUGAUCAGCCAAACUGGGACGGAGACACGGCCCAGACUCCUACGGAGGCAGCAGUGGGGAAUAUUGCACAAUGGGCGCAAGCCUGAUGCAGCCAUGCCGCGUGUAUGAAGAAGGCCCUAGGGUUGUAAAGUACUUUCAGUCGGGAGGCGUUACCGACAGAAGAAGCACCGGCUAACUCCGUGCCAGCCGCCGCGGUAAUUC
rnacentral:rRNA from 1 species